UACGAAGGGUGCAAGCGUUACUCGGAAUUACUGGGCGUAAAGCGUGCGUAGGUGGUUUGUUAAGUCUGAUGUGAAAGCCCUGGGCUCAACCUGGGAAUUGCAUUGGAUACUGGCAGGCUAGAGUGCGGUAGAGGGUAGUGGAAUUCCCGGUGUAGCGGUGAAAUGCGUAGAUAUUCGGAAGAACACCAGUGGCGAAGGCGGCUCACUGGCCCGAUACUGACGCUGAGGCACGAAAGCGUGGGGAGCAAACAGG
rnacentral:rRNA from 1 species